rnacentral:rRNA from 1 species
GACGUGGGGGGCCAGCGUUGCUCGGAAUUACUGGGUGUAAAGGGUUCGUAGGCGGUGUAGCAAGUCGGGAGUGAAAUCUCUGGGCUCAACCCAGAGACUGCUUCCGAAACUGCUGUGCUUGAGUGUGGGAGAGGCGCGUGGAAUUGCAGGUGUAGCGGUGAAAUGCGUAGAUAUCUGCAGGAACACCCGUGGCGAAAGCGGCGCGCUGGACCACUACUGACGCUGAGGAACGAAAGCUAGGGGAGCAAACAGG